rnacentral:rRNA from 1 species
CUACGGGGGGCAGCAGUGAGGAAUAUUGCACAAUGGGGGGAACCCUGAUGCAGCAACGCCGCGUGGAGGAUGACGCAUUUCGGUGUGUAAACUCCUUUUAUAUGUCAAGAAAAUGACGGUAGCAUAUGAAUAAGCACCGGCUAACUCCGUGCCAGCAGCCGCGGUAAUACGGAGGGUGCAAGCGUUACUCGGAAUCACUGGGAGUAAAGGACGCGUAGGCGGGUUGGAAAGUCAGGUGUGAAAUCCUACAGCUUAACUGUAGAACUGCACUUGAAACUUCUAAUCUAGAGUAUGGGAGGGGGAGAUGGAGUUAGUGGUGUAGGGGUAAAAUCCGUAGAUAUCACUAGGAAUACCUAAAGCGAAGGCGAUCUCCUGGAACAUUACUGACGCUAAGGCGUGAAAGCGUGGGGAGCAAACAGGAUUAGAUACCCUCGUAGUC